CAGUCGCCACGGUAAUACAGAGGGUGCAAGCGUUAAUCGGACUUACUGGGCGUAAAGGGCGCGUAGGUGGUUAUUUAAGUGAGAUGUGAAAUCCCCGGGCUUAACCUGGGAACUGCAUCUUAUACUGGGUAACUGGAGCGCAGUAGAGGGUAGUGGAAUUUCCGGCGUAGCGGUGAAAUGCGUUGAGAUCGGAAAGAACACCAACGGCGAAAGCACUCUGCUGGGCCGACACUGACACUGAGAGACGAAAGCUAGGGGAGCAAAUGGGAUUAGAUACCCCCGUAGUCCCUGUCUCUUAUAC
rnacentral:rRNA from 1 species